rnacentral:misc_RNA from 1 species
UCCGGCUUGUCGCCGGCAGUCUCGCAUGAGUGCCCGGCCUUACCCGCUGGCAACAUGCGACGGGGGUUGCGCUCGUUGCGGGACUUAACCCAACAUCUCACGACACGAGCUGACGACAACCAUGCACCACCUGUGUCAGGGCUCCAUCCCGAAGGAUGGCACUCCUGCCUUUCGGCCGGAUUCCCUGACAUGUCAAGCCCUGGUAAGGUUCUACGCGUUGCUUCGAAUUAAACCACAUGCUCCGCUGCUUGUGCGGGCCCCCGUCAAUUCCUUUGAGUUUCAACCUUGCGGCCGUACUCCCCAGGCGGAGUGCUUAUUGCGUUAACUCCGGCACGAGGGGGUCGAUACCCCUCACACCUAGCACUCAUCGUUUACGGCUGGGACUAC